CCUCAAUGAAUCAGACUUAUAAACCCCCCAAUGCAGGCAUUUAUCCUAUCUCCCUGACCUGUUAUAAUGGCUCCCCUGCUAUUACUCCCUUUUAAGGCUAAUUCCUCCAGUUGGGCUUUGAAUCACCUAUAAAUAGGUAAAAUACAUUAUUUUAGAAAGCAUAUUAAAUAGUAAUAAGUGCUAAAAACAAAAUAAACAAAGGAUGGAAAGGCAACAUGAAAUGAUGUCAGACUAUGAAAUUUUAAUUAAGAUGUCCAGGGAUGAUCUCACUGGGAAGGUAACUAUAUAGUGAAGAACUAAAAGAAAUGAGAAAUUCAGGUAUGUGGAUAUCUGAAGGGAGAAGGCAUGCCUGGCAUGUUUGAGACCAAAGUAACUAAAACAGAGAGAAUGAAGGGGAAGAUGUUAAGAGAUGAAAUCAGAGAUUUAUCAGGGAACCAGAUCACUUAAGUCAUUUGUCAACAUAGUAGUUUUGUUUUUACAUUGAGUGAUGUGGAAACCUAAUGAAGUGUUUUUGUAAAGAAGAAUAAUAAGAAAAUAACUAUACUUUUUAGAUAGAAGAUAAAUUUUGGAGGACUAGAGGUAGAAGCCAGAAGGCUAGUGAGGGACUAAUGCAGUAAUUCAGGACAUGAAAAAUGGUGUCCAGGAUGUAAAGAGUGGAGUGGGAAGAAGUUGUUAAUUUUGGGUAUAAUUUCAUGCAGAACCAAGAGAAUUUGUUGAAGCAAUAGUCGUGAAGAAUGAGAAAGAAAGGGAAAACAAAGCAAAAAAAAAUACUAUCAAGAUGUAUGAAGGAAUUGAAUUACUGUUUAACUGAGAUGGGAAUGACUACAGAAGGAGCCACAAGUUUAAUGGCGAGAGGUCGAUAUCAGGAGGUGAACAACCAGGACAGCAUGGUUUCUGCAUUUCCAGCUCUAACAGUCUGUAAUUCUAUGAUGGCAACCAUUUGGGGUCUGGUGAUGUCACUGACAUCUGGAGAAGAGAAAAACAAGGCCACAGGAACCAGUUUGGAGAAUGAGAUCAAUUGGCAUACGAUUCCUGGUAAUUUCUACACCCAACAUGGGGUUCAAACUCAUGACCCUGGGAUCAAGAGUUGUAUGCUCUUCCGACUGAGCCAGCCAGUGCACGGUCUUCUGUUGUUCCUGGAACCACUCAAGCAUAUAAUGAA
rnacentral:lncRNA from 1 species